UCCAGGCGCAGUCCCGCUUUCUCUCUCAAUUCUGAUCGCCGCCCUAGCCAACCAGCGUCGACGCCACCUUGUCCCCACUGUAGCUUCAUACCCGCUUCUCUUUCUCUUCGUCUCCGUUUCUGGUGAGCGCAAUAACCACAGGCGAGCUGCGAUUCCUUCUCUUCCAAGCAACGCAGCAGCGUCUUCUUCCAUCACCGGUGAUCUAGCUCCGGUCCCUCUCCUGUCUUGUCUCAGCGCAGCAGGCAAGAGAGGGAGCUGUAACUUCGAUUGACGGCUCGCUUCUCUCUCUCUCCUCCUCGUUUUUCCGGUGACAAUGGCAAAUCGAGCGGCUCCAAUCCUCUCCUUUAUGACGGUGAGCUUCUCUCUCCUUUUCGUUUGAUUUCAGUCGGCGCAGUAGACACAAGGAGCGGUGAUCACAGCUUGUGAUUGAAACAGUCCCGCUGCCUACACUCUUGUCCAUUUUCCGACGACACGAGCUAAGGAACCGGUCAGUUAUAAUGUCUCACUGCUUCCAGUAGCAUCACUGGCCAAAUUUGCUUCGACGAAAUUGAUUUGUGGACGCCGGAGUUGUUGCGGAUCAUUUUUAACCGGAAAAUUCUUAUUUCCAGCUAGUUUUGCAGCUAGUGGGUCACCAUGAGUUUGUGAUGGUGGUCUUCAAUACUGUUGGCCAUGUAUGGAGAGAUCGGCGCCCACUUAUGCAUCUGAUGAUAUGAAUUAUAUGAAAAACCACAUGGUGGCCUCCUCCUGUUGGUAAUGGGAAAAAAAAAAAAGAGCAUGGAAAAAAAUGAGAGGUUGGUCAAGGAAGGAUUAGACCGGUCAACUAUGUAUGAAGGAUCGACUCCCUGGUGCACACGUUUGAGAGGGCGGCCCAUGUGUGAAGACGACUCGUCUAGGAUUUUGCUGAUGCCACUAACCAAUUUCCACUUGUUUGAUUUUUUGAAGGAAAUAGAUUCUUCAUUGUCAUGCCAAAGAUCUGUUUCCUCCACUGCAGAGCUAGAAAAGUAAUCUUUAGUAUCAGUAGUUGUUUAGCGAUAUAUACAAGAACUUAUUUACAUCUAUCUGUUAGAGAACUCUGCAAUUGUAAGAUUACAACCGAUAAACUUAUGUGGAUGUUUUAAUUAUUCAUUUAGGUAUAUGCAUGAACCAGUUAGCGCAUAUUAUAGAUGUUAUAUAUCAUAUUUGGGCUCGAGCUAUAAAAUGUUUAAGAUGUUGGA